rnacentral:rRNA from 1 species
GACGAACGCUGGCGGCGUGCCUAAUACAUGCAAGUCGAACGCAGUUGCGUGCGGGUGAGUUACGCGUCGGUCACUGCGUGGUAGCGGGGGAUAACUAUUGGCUACGAUAGCCACUACCGCAUACUACCCGAUGGACCUGCGUUGUAUUAGCUAGUUGGUGGGGUAACGGCACACCAAGGCAACGAUACAUAGCCGACCUGAGAGGGUGAUCGGCCACACUGGGACUGAGACACGGCCCAGACUCCUACGGGAGGCAGCAGUAGGGAAUCUUCGGCAAUGGGGGGAACCCUGACCGAGCAACGCCGCGUGAGUGAAGAAGGUUUUCGGGUCGUAAAGCUCUGUUGUUAAGGAAGCGGUACCUAACCAGAAAGGGACGGCUAACUACGUGCCAGCAGCCGCGGUAAUUC